rnacentral:rRNA from 1 species
ACGAACGCUGGCGGCGUGCUUAACACAUGCAAGUCGAACGGAAAGGCCCCUUUGGGGGUACUCGAGUGGCGAACGGGUGAGUAACACGUGAGUAACCUGCCCUUGACUUCGGGAUAACUUCAGGAAACUGGGGCUAAUACCGGAUAGGAAUCCUUGCUGCAUGGUGGGGGGUGGAAAGCUUCGGCGGUUUUGGAUGGACUCGCGGCUUAUCAGCUUGUUGGUGGGGUAGUGGCUUACCAAGGCUUUGACGGGUAGCCGGCCUGAGAGGGCGACCGGCCACAUUGGGACUGAGAUACGGCCCAGACUCCUACGGGAGGCAGCAGUGGGGAAUAUUGCACAAUGGGCGGAAGCCUGAUGCAGCAACGCCGCGUGCGGGAUGACGGCCUUCGGGUUGUAAACCGCUUUCAGCAGGGGCGAAGCUUGUGGUGACGGUACCUGCAGAAGAAGCACCGGCUAACUACGUG